AGAUCAUAAACAGUAUGAGUAAUAAAUAAAUAAGAACAUUGUGUAGAGCAGGUCAUGGUGAUUGGAGGGACAAUGGUGGUCAGUCUGCCCUCUUUGGGAAGGUGGCACCACUGAGAUGCUCCUUUCCUCAGUCUGUGAGGCAGUGCCUGGAGCUUUCUGAGCCAGAAGAUGCCCACGGAUGGGUGUACUCCUCGAGAGGAGAGGAUGGAAGUGCCCCUGGAUGGAAGUGCCCGACAUCACAAUCCCAGAGUAGGAAGGACCCUGGGAUGUUAUCCAACCUGACCUUCCAAGUAAUGCAGAAUGCCUUUGGGCAGCUUCCGAGCAGAUGGCUUUUCAAGUGCCCGUGGGGUGCCAGGAGGCUGGCUUCCUGUUUGCCCGGGCGGAGGCCAUUCCUGUGGUCACACACUGAAAGUGACAGGCUGGCGUGCUGGCGAGGAAAAUCACAGGUGGUUAGAAGUGUUCAUUCCAAAAUUUUCCUUUUCUGCCUCUUAUGGAAACCAUCCUCCCAAAGAUGAGCAUCCAGGAUGCCUUUGACAAAAAUGCUGGUUUUUCUGGAAUCACAAAGACAGGCUCCCUGCAAGUUUACAAAGUGAGUUUGUUGAGAAGCAUAUUGUAUGUAAGGGUGAGUCUGAAAGGCCUGGCUUGUGGGGGCCUAAUCAUCUCAUUGAUUAGGAAAUAGAAGCCCCAAAAGGCAAAAUGACUUCUCUACAACAGAAGUAAGGCUGGAUCUCAUAACUACCAGGCCUGUGGCUUUAUGGCUGUCAUACCACUGACAGGGGCUUCCUCAGUGGCUCAGUGGUAAAGAAUCCACCUGCAGUGCAGGAGAUGCAGGAGACGUGGGUUUGAUCCCUGGGUCAGAAAGAUCCCCUGGUGGAAGACAUGGCAACCCACUCCAGUACUCUUGCCUGGAGAAUUGCAUGGACUGAGGAGCCUGGUGGACUAUAGCCCCAAGGGUCACAAAGGGUUGACACGACUGAAAGACUGAGCAUACACACCACUGAUACACCAGCAUCCUUUAUCCUUCUUCAAGUAAGUAUUCCUAAGGUCCAACUACAGGGCUCUGAGAGUCAAGUCUUUACUUGGCAGGAAGCUGUGCAGAUGAGCAGCUGCCUGGCACCCUUCUUCUGCCCCGCAUUUGACCUCAUCUUCCUAAAGCCUAGGUGCUCACACCAAAGUCAUCAUGUGACUGCUCAUAGGCCAGGGGUACCCUGUAGAGGCAUGGUGUUUGGUCUGCAACUGAAAGAAAGGAAGGAAGGCAGAGGGAGGGAGGGAAACAGCUGACUUCUGUAAGAUACUGGAUCUAAAAUGUUAGAUUCUGAUUCUCUUGAAAGAAACCACCAAGCCAAAUUCAGUGAGCCCAAACAGUUAGCCCGAGGGAGCCGUCCAGGUUCCCCAUGUGCCCUCUUCCCUUACGAGACACCUCCUCAUCUCACAGGGGUUACCUGCCCAGCCCCUGUCCACAUGGGUCUCUGACCCCUAACCUGAAAUUUUAUUUCGAUAACAGAGUAUAAUGGUCAGAAGUGGUCCUAGACCAGAGAAGAGGAUCUUCAUCACUGGUGCUCAGGGAAGGAGUGCAGAGAGAUCUCACUGGAACAUGAAGGCUGUCAUGGACCUUUCCCAUGGCAUGCUUCUCUGCACAUACCAAAAACAAUGAUUAAAAUUAAAAUUUUUUACAUAGCUCAAAAAAGAAAAACAAAGAUUGUAAUUAUCGAGAGUCCUCCAGGCCCCUGCAGUUUAGGAGGACAUGAAUUUUUUCCCUAUCUGACCAAACCAGGAGGUACUACUUAGAAAUCCCUAACCUAGGUUUUCUAUACAACAAUGGUAGCAAUUGCAAUUGCUCAAAACCAGGUCUUUCCAGUCUGUAUUUGUAACCAUUUAACUCUGUACUUCAGAGCCAACUGACCAGUAACCACACAGCUGCAAUUAGUUGAGGAAACCCAAUGCCACGUAUCACCUUGGAGCCUCUUGAGGGGGUAUCCCCAUUCCCAGACAAAACACCAAAACCCAGUAAAUAAAGGUGUCUGCAUGGGAAUUGCUGAUGUUUAUUUUUCCUUUGGCAGGUGGCCCACAAGACUGUGCUGGACAUCAGCGAGGAGGGGAUACAGGCCACAGAAGCCAAUGCUACCAAGCUCAUAGUCCAGUCAAAGGACGGCCCCCUUUAUCCUAUCAUCUCCUUUAACAGGCCCUUCAUACUGCUGGCUGUAACCAAAGCCACAAAGACCUUGGUCUUCAUCAGGAAAGUUGAAAAUCCCACUCAGUUCUAGGUGAAAAAGGCCUCUUUGUUAACUUCUGGGUUUUAGAUAUACCUAAUGAUAGUCUUAGGAGAAGGCAAUGGCAACCCACUCCAGUACUCUUGCCUAGGAAAUCCCAUGGACAGAGGAGUCUGGUAGGCUGCAGUCCAUGGGGUCCCUAGAGUCGGACACGACUG